GUAUAUUCAGAGCACAGAGAUUCACUCUGAUCAUUAAAAUUAAACAUCAAAAAACAGAACUGUUGAGGAAAUGUUCCUCAUUCUGUCUCUCCACAGACUCAGCAGAGGACGGUCUGGCACUCCGUGGUCAGUUAACGCUGAAAGAUGAAUGUUUAUGAGGACGCGCCGUCGGGGAGCAGGAUGGAGAUGGAGCGCAUGAAGACGGAGGACGAGGGCGUGAAGACGGAGGACGAGGGCGUGAAGACGGAGGACGAGGGCGUGAAGACGGAGGACGUGUACCAGACUCUUCAGCCAACUCCUCCAGUGAAGAACCCAAACCCAGCACACGGUGAGAACCCACAGAACCUUCAACCCAGCAGAGAAUCAGCAUUAAAAUCAGUCUCACGGUCACUGAUGAGCUGCUGGACGUUUCCUCUGUCCAUCUCUAACAGAGCCAGUGAGGAGCUGCAGGAUAAAGACGAAGCUGAUGGUCUUCAACACUCUGCUAUUGAUCGUCAUCCUGAUCAUGAUCGGAAUCUUCCUUUCAAAACAUCAAGAACGUGCUGACGUGAACAAACCACAAGCUCCUGCUGCAGAAAACAAGCGGAACACAGAAGUGAGCCGAAACAUCACCGCUGGUGAGGAAACAUUUCAGGACUCGAUCAAAUACACAAUCAAAAUGCAAUAUUUUGAGAUCAGUUCCAUGUUAUUGAUGAUGACAGAUAUAUAGAAUAAAAGUCAUGAAGGUGUCCAUUUUUGGGAGAGGUCAUCACCCGCUUUGCAUAUCUUUAGGUAUUUUAGGUGGUCAUUUAAAGGUCACCUGUGAAUUUACUGCAGAAUAACUUUCUGAGCUGGACGUUUUGGUUUGUAACUCAAGUAGAAGAUCUUUAUAUUUCACGAAGCAGAAGUUCAAACAGGCUUUCCUUCCUUCUUCAUUUCAGAGUGAAAUGACUUUAGUCUUUGUAGUUUUAGGAGUAGAUGAUGAAAGCGGGAGUGGAGACCAGCGGAUUCCCCACGACGGCAUGUUUUACUUGUUCUGGGAAUAUGAAGGGAGCUGCACUGAGGCCAAGAAGUUCUGUGAAGAUAGAAACUCCAGAAUUGGCACCAUUACAAACAACAACAACAUACCUGGAAAAAAUGAGGAGAAAUGAUAUAAUAUGAUGUUCCUGCAGUGGGGAAUGGGGGGGUGGUCAGUGCAGUGUUGGCAUCUACCAUGAAUGCGAGUUGUAUGGUUAGAAGUGAUGUGCCUGUUAUACAACCCCAAAAGUUUCCAAAAAAGUUGGGACGCUGUGCGAAAUGUCAAUGAAAACAAAAGGAAAUGUGCAAAUCAUAUUUAAGUCUAUAUUUAAUUAAAAAUAGCACAAAAAC
ensembl:lncRNA